UCUUAGCAACCGAUUUGGUCCUAGUCCUCUUCUUGGUUCCACCUAAACCGAUACAUGCAAGCUAUUUAGCAGUACAGUGAGUAAACCUAUAUAAUUCACCCUGAAAAGAAGUGAUAGUCAUAACAAAAGUAUCAGAAAAUUAUCUUAAUUCUAAAACACUAAGCCCCCCACAUCUGCAGUACCUAAUAUUAUACAAUAAGCAAAAACUUGAUAUAGUUAUAGACCAAAAGAGUUGGUUAAUUAUGUGCCAGCCACCGCGGUUAUACAUAAAACUCAAAUCAAGAAAACAAUAAAUCGGUCUAAAAGUGACCAGGGUAUAAACCAUUUUAAGGUGAAAAACAACUCUAGUAUUAACAAGCUUUCACAGUAAACUAACAACUAACUUAAAACCCACCUUAAUUUCUACUUUCUAACCCGAAACACCAAAGCUCAAAAAUAAACUGGGAUUAGAUACCCCACUAUAUGAGCCGUAAAAAACC
rnacentral:rRNA from 1 species